rnacentral:rRNA from 1 species
AUACGGAGGAUGCAAGCGUUAUCCGGAUUUAUUGGGUUUAAAGGGUGCGUAGGCGGAUGAUUAAGCGUGAGGUGAAAUGCCACUGCUCAACAGUGGAACUGCCUCGCGAACUGGUUGUCUUGAAUGCUCCUGCCGUGGGAGGAAUGUGUGGUGUAGCGGUGAAAUGCAUAGAGAUCACACAGAACACCGAUUGCGAAGGCAUCUCACGAAGGGGUGAUUGACGCUGAGGCACGAAAGCGUGGGGAUCAAACAGGAUUAGAUACCCUGGUAGUCCACGCAGUAAACGAUGAAUACUAGGUGUCGGGUUUCUAUAGAGAUUCGGUGCCGCAGCAAACGCAAUAAGUAUUCCACCUGGGGAGUACGUUCGCAAGAAUGAAACUCAAAGGAAUUGGCGGGG